CUUCACCUGAGGAAUAAAGUAUAAGAUCUUCAGAACUUUUAUUCAGGGGAGAAAGGCCCAGGUAGCUGCUGCUGUUCAGCUUAAGGCUAAUCUGACCUUCUAUAACAGGAGUUCAAGUCCCAGAAAUCCCUGGUCCUCCAUCUGAGGGAGAUGGGGGCAGUAACCUGCAUGGAGCUGUCACCUCCUAUGAUAACAACAUCUGGAAUACCUCCUGAAGGACAUGCCUGAGGCUGUUUUACAGUUAACUUUUUAAAAAAUACAUAAGUAGAAAGAGUACACUCUAAAAUAAAAUAAAAGGUAUAGUAUAAUAAAUACAAUAACAAA
rnacentral:lncRNA from 1 species